AUGAGUUUUUACCUCCAAUUUUGGUUGGUCCCCAAUAAACUCGACUCGACUCAUACAUUAUUUUAAUUCUUUGAACUUCAAUAGUCGGGAUUCAUUCUUUGAACAAUGGCUCUCUCUCUAUCUCGAUCGAUCGAAUCCCUAAUUUCCUUCUCCAUAGAAUCUGUGGUUUGUUGAUUUCGAUCCCUAAUCUGAUCUUAGAGACUCCUGAUCUGCACUUCUAAUCGGUGGUUUGUUGAUUUCAUCCCUGAGGAGUCUCAUAGUGUCUCUCUUGUCAGCGAUUUCAGUAUCCAGUAUCAACAACGGCCUUUUCAACCCUGAGUCUAUCUUUGAGGAACAACACCAGUGGCAACAAGAGCAAGAACGCUGUAGCAUCAUCUACAUCUCUUCGUCAGAAAACCCUAAGUCUGAUCUUGGAACUGAAGGAAUUGGCCUCUUCGCUCUUGGACUCCGCUAAGCGCCAUCUCGAUCGCUUGCAUUAGGAGAUCCUCAAGGACCUCGAGGUCUCUCUCUCUCUCGUCUCCAUAAACGAUUAAAGGUCCCUCUCUCUCUCUCUCUCUCUCUGAAAUUUUAUUGUGAUGUGCUCUAAUUGCUUGACCGAAAUUUCACCAUAGAACUACAGGUUGAGUUUUGAUUGUUCUAUCUCUGUUUCUGUGUGAGCACGCACAAGCGUGUGCUCCUCUGCAUUGUUAUUAUUAUUAUUUGUAAUCUCGAGUUCACUUCCAGAAAAGAAAAAAAAAAAAAUUU